GUGGGUAGCGCUCAGUGAUAGAGUUCAUGCCUCGUAUGCACUAGGUCCUGGGUUCAAUCCCUAGUAUCUCCA
rnacentral:tRNA from 1 species